UACGUAGGGGGCUAGCGUUGUCCGGAAUCAUUGGGCGUAAAGAGCGCGUAGGCGGCCAGAUAAGUCCGGUGUGAAAGUCACAGGCUCAACCUGUGAAUGCCGCUGGAAACUGUCUGGCUAGAGUCCGGGAGGGGCGAGUGGAAUUCCUGGUGUAGCGGUGAAAUGCGCAGAUAUCAGGAGGAACACCGGUGGCGAAGGCGGGUCUCUGGGCCAUAACUGACGCUGAGGAGCGAAAGCGUGGGGAGCGAACAGG
rnacentral:rRNA from 1 species